AUAAUGUACCUUAUGUUGGUGCUUCCCGAAGAAGAGAGAAAGCACGAAGUUGAAGUACUAAAGUUGUUUACCACGUCGGAUUACAGAAAGAACAUAAAGUGGAAGUUCAUAAGGAACAUUGGUCCAGCAUGGUCCUGGGUAGAGAGUCACAGCAAGAUAUUCCUUGGAGAGGUGAUGGAGCCUGUCUUUCUCCAGAUGGAUUUGUUUUCGAAUAUCUGGAGGAUCUGAACACGUUUAUUUCAAACUGUUAUGAGGAACAAGGCCUGUACGGGCCAUGAAAUAUUCUUGUUCAAUAAUAAAUACAAGAAAUGCC